UACGUAGGUGGCAAGCGUUAUCCGGAAUUAUUGGGCGUAAAGCGCGCGCAGGUGGUUUCUUAAGUCUGAUGUGAAAGCCCACGGCUCAACCGUGGAGGGUCAUUGGAAACUGGGAGACUUGAGUGCAGAAGAGGAAAGUGGAAUUCCAUGUGUAGCGGUGAAAUGCGUAGAUAUCGGGAGGAACACCAGUAGCGAAGGCGCCCUUCUGGACGGUUACUGACGCUGAGGCGCGAAAGCGUGGGGAGCAAACAGG
rnacentral:rRNA from 1 species